rnacentral:rRNA from 1 species
AGACGCUGGCGGCGUGCUUAACACAUGCAAGUCGAACGAAGCGGAUGAGGUGCUUGCACCGAGUCUGACUUAGUGGCGAACGGGUGAGUAACGCGUGAAGAACCUGCCUUUCAGUGGGGGACAACAGUUGGAAACGACUGCUAAUACCGCAUAAUGUUAUUUGGGGGCAUCCUCGAAUAACCAAAGAUUUAUUGCUGAAAGAUGGCUUCGCGUCUGAUUAGCUAGAUGGCGGGGUAACGGCCCACCAUGGCGACGAUCAGUAGCCGGACUGAGAGGUUGAACGGCCACAUUGGGACUGAGAUACGGCCCAGACUCCUACGGGAGGCAGCAGUGGGGAAUAUUGCGCAAUGGGGGAAACCCUGACGCAGCAACGCCGCGUGCAGGAAGAAGGUCUUCGGAUUGUAAACUGUUGUCGCAAGGGAAGAAGACAGUGACGGUACCUUGUGAGAAAGUCACGGCUAACUACGUG